rnacentral:rRNA from 1 species
GAUGAACGCUGGCGGCGUGCCUAAUACAUGCAAGUCGAGCGAACGGACGAGAAGCUUGCUUCUCUGAUGUUAGCGGCGGACGGGUGAGUAACACGUGGAUAACCUACCUAUAAGACUGGGAUAACUUCGUGAAACCAGUGCUAAUACCGGAUAAUAUUUUCAACCGCAUGGUUCAAAAGUGAAAGAGGGUCUUGCUGUCACUUAGAGAUGGGUCCGCGCUGCAUUAGCUAGUUGGUAAGGUAACGGCUUACCAAGGCGACGAUGCAUAGCCGACCUGAGAGGGUGAUCCGCCACACUGGAACUGAGACACGGUCCAGACUCCUACGGGAGGCAGCAGUAGGGAAUCUUCGGCAAUGGGCGAAAGCCUGACGGAGCAACGCCGCGUGAGUGAUGAAGGUCUUCGGAUCGUAAAACUCUGUUAUUAGGGAAGAACAUAUGUAUAAGUAACUGUGCACGUCUUGACGGUACCUAAACAGAAAGCAACGGCUAACUACGUG